CAAUCAAAUGCCUCAAUCCCUCUCAAAAUAAACACCACUUCUCAGUCAACAAAAUUCAUGGCGAUGAGCUAGUUUUUUCUCGCAUCCAAACAGAGCACUGAAAUCUGCGUCCCAGAAGAAUACCUUGGAGUUCCGUAUCGCCAACCAUGGCGACACGUUUGCUGUUUCACAAUCUCAGACGCAUCAACACUUCACACACCGCAAGCUGGUGGAUGCACAUCUCGUAUCGCGCCUCGCCGAUUGAUUUCGCCGGUGAAUCUGCUCCGUCGAGCGAAAAGGGCCACCGCAACGACGACCUCAAGAAUAGGGUUUUAGGGCUUGUAUUCCCACGACGGAGCGCAACGAUUGUGCUUCAGAAUUGGGUCGAUGAAGGCCACAAGGUUUCGAUUUUCGAGCUUCGUCGCAUCUCCACACAACUCAUGAAAUUCCAGCGUUAUAAGCACGCUCUCGAGAUCUUUACAUGGAUGGAAGCUCGGAAUGGCUAUCGCAUUUCACCUGCUGAUCAUGCAAUCAGGUUGGAAUUGAUUAUCAAAGUCCAUGAUUUAAGGGAAGGUGAAGAAUAUUUUGCAAGUUUACCUAACACCGCUUCACAGAAAGCAGCCAGCCUAACUCUUCUUCAUUCUUAUGUUAAAGAAAGGGCCACUGAGAAAGCUGAGGCUCUCAUGGUAAAAAUGAAUAGCUUGGGGCUGACUGUGAGUCCUCAUCCAUUUAAUGAGAUGAUGAAGCUUUAUAUGGCCACAUCUCAUUUUGUGAAAGUGCCAUCUGUAAUCCUUCAAAUGAAGCAAAACAAUAUACCCCGAAAUGUCCUCUCCUACAACCUUUGGAUGGGUGCGUGUGGUGAGGUAUCUGGGGUUGCAUCAGCUGAGAUGGUUUACAAAGAAAUGGUGAACGACAAGGAUGUGCAAGUAGGAUGGAGCACUCUAGCUACUUUGGCCAAUAUCUAUCUAAAAUCCGGAUUUCAUGACAAAGCCACUUUGGCCCUUCAAUAUGCAGAAAAAAAGCUAUCCACUACUAACCGCCUUGGUUAUUUCUUCCUUAUUACACUCUAUGCCUCUUUAAACAAUAAAGAUGGUGUUCUUCGGCUUUGGGAGGCCUGUAAAGCAGUGAAAGGGAGAGUUACUUGUUCCAAUUAUAUGUGUAUCUUGUUAUGUUUGGUAAAGCUUGGUGAUAUAGAAAAAGCUGAGAAGAUUUUCAAGGAAUAUGAAUCAGGGUGUAGAAAAUAUGACAUUAGAGUUUCCAAUGUGCUUCUAGGUGCAUACAUGAGGAAUGGAUUAAUGGAGAAAGCUGAGUCAUUGCAUCUUCGCACAUUGGAGAGAGGUGGAUGUCCGAAUUACAAGACAUGGGAGAUACUCAUGGAAGGAUGGGUGACAAGCCAGGACAUGGAUAAAGCUGUAAAUGCCAUGAAAAAAGGCUUCGCUAUGUUGAAACAUUGUGACUGGAGGCCAUCACCUGCCAUUGUGGUGGCCAUUGCAGAGUUCUUUGAGAAGAGUGGAAAUUUUGAAGAUGCAAAGUGGUAUCUCAAGGUUUUUAGGCGAUUGGGCCUUGCCAGUUUGCCAGUUUAUAAAUCAUUGCUUAGAGUGCAUGCAUCCGCUCAACAGCCAGCUCAAGAAAUUUUUGAAAUGAUGAAGAAAGAUGAAAUUGAUAUCGACGAUGAGGCUUCAGCACUUCAAGUUUUGAAGGCAUAAGCAACAACAAUGCUAUGGGGUCAGUGUUGGUGGCUUCUAAGGACAUUUGAGACUUCAGUUUGCCUUGUUCUUGGUGUGGAAGGGUAGUGGCUAGUAAAACUACGGAUAAUGAGUACUAUGUAGAAAGCAUGCUUGUUUCAAGUAGUAAGUAUUUGUUUUGACAAGAGCAACCUACCCUGAUUGUUGAUCAUGCAGAUGAGAUGAUGACAAAUGGAUUUCGCUUAGAUCCGUUGCUUCCUUGCAUAUAUGACGAGCAGCAAAUACGAUUUUCUGGCACUCAAAAGAAUGCACAUUCAUAGCUGUAGUGUUGAAGCAGCUAUUAACACCUUCAUCAUUUAUCUCAAGGUUUAUCUCCACAAUUGCUUCAAUGAUCCAAGCCCAGUAUCCAACGGACCAGCCGUAAUGUGCACAAAAACUAAAAUUUCACUUUCAACGGAUUUGCUACCUCAAACGCCACACUUUACAGAAUCUUCAGAUUCUUUUGGUGCUUUGUCCUUAUCUUCUCCUACCCGUGGUGUGUAGCCAUAGAUCACUGGCAUAACUGGAGAAGAUCACAGGCACGGGCUGAGUAGGAAGCGAGGAUUGCUUCAAGACUCGGAUAAAUGGUGACAGGAGAUGAUUUUGGGGCUCCAGAUUGUCUCAUACAUGUAAUUUCUCUACUGUUUAAAGUAGAUUUAUCUUGUGCUCGUGGACAUAAGAAGAUUUGUGUGAAACCACAUAAAUUUUGUAUUCUCUUUGGAUUGGGGGUGUGACAGUGAAUUUUUCUCGAGCACAAUCACAUAAAAUUUCUGUACUGUUUUUCUUAUUGGAUUGUGCGUGUUAUUGUGGAUAAGCUUCUGUCCA